UUAACCCUGGACAGGGUGAGCUCAUGACAUAAAGUGGGGAUUCAGGAAGGUGGAACCCUCUCCACUGACUGACCGGACAAAAGAUCUUGGGCUUUUGUUCUGAAGCAUCGACACGUAGUGUGAUCUUAAAGAACGACGCACUGAAUAACGGGGGAUUGAUUACUAAUCCCUUUUAUCCGUUAAUUUCCUCUUCGUGGAGGUCUUUAGCACUGAAGUAAAC
rnacentral:lncRNA from 1 species